AUGUCCUCCUUGGCAGGUUCAGGGCCUUUCAUGGGAUUUUAUUGUUUGGAAUCCAACAAAAACAUAGUUGAGAUGAGGUCUUGGAAGGUGGCUUGUCAAGAUGUAUGUCUGCACCAUUUUACUCUUACAACUAUGCCUAUGCACACAGUUUACCACAGAGGAGACCUCUUCCAUUUCCAUGUACCUGAAGGCAUCUUUACUUUUUUUCUGCCUCCACAAUCACCACUUUAGGUCAGUACCUUUUUGAUCACUAUGCAGAGUAACAAAUUCACUGCACAGUAUAAUUCAGUACUUGCAAAUGCAUACCUAUAUGCACAAAAAUUUGAGAGG
rnacentral:lncRNA from 1 species